rnacentral:rRNA from 1 species
AGUGAACGCUGGCGGUAGGCCUAACACAUGCAAGUCGAACGGCAGCACAGUAAGAGCUUGCUCUUACGGGUGGCGAGUGGCGGACGGGUGAGGAAUACAUCGGAAUCUACUUUUUCGUGGGGGAUAACGUAGGGAAACUUACGCUAAUACCGCAUACGACCUACGGGUGAAAGCAGGGGAUCUUCGUACCUUGCGCGAUUGAAUGAGCCGAUGUCGGAUUAGCUAGUUGGCGGGGUAAAGGCCCACCAAGGCGACGAUCCGUAGCUGGUCUGAGAGGAUGAUCAGCCACACUGGAACUGAGACACGGUCCAGACUCCUACGGGAGGCAGCAGUGGGGAAUAUUGGACAAUGGGAGCAAGCCUGAUCCAGCCAUACCGCGUGGGUGAAGAAGGCAUUCGGGUUGUAAAGCCCUUUUGUUGGGAAAGAAAAGCAGCAGGUUAAUACCCCGCUGUUCUGACGGUACCCAAAGAAUAAGCACCGGCUAACUUCGUG